UAUGCUACACUUGUGAGGGCACUUUGUAGGGAGGGGAGGGUGGCAGAUGCUUAUGAAGUGUUUGAUUAUGCAGUUGAGAGUAAGAGUGUAACUGAUGUUGCUGCUUAUACAACUUUGGAGGGUGCACUGAAGUGGCUUAAGAAAGCAAGGGAACAAGGCCUUGCUACCUAACUGAUGCCACAGUGAUGUUUAUCAAUUCCCAUAUUGGCAACAGUGGCCUUUGGUUUUUCUUAGUUUAUGAAACUUACAAAGGUUGGAUUGUGCUGUUGUUUUGUUUUCAGUAACGACUAAACUUGUUAAUCUCAGUGAAAGUGUAACUGUAACACUCAAGGUUAAGCAAAUGGCAUUAACCCGGUUGUGUUUGUUUAAUUUAUUGUUUACUUGAAGAGAGAUAUUACACGAGUUUAAAGGUACUGAAGUGAAUCCCUUUUGGCAACACUUAAAUAUGUACAGAUGUUUUGUCUCUGAGA